UGCAAGUCGAACGUGAUCCGCCCUUCGGGGUGGUGAAAGUGGCGCACGGGUGAGUAACGCGUGGAUAAUCUGCCCGAGGAUUUGGGAUAACAUCUCGAAAGGGGUGCUAAUACCGAAUAAGCCCACGGGGUCUACGGAUCUUGCGGGAAAAGGGGGGGACCUUCGGGCCUCCUGUCCUUGGAUGAGUCUGCGUACCAUUAGCUAGUUGGUGGGGUAAUGGCCUACCAAGGCGACGAUGGUUAGCUGGUCUGAGAGGAUGAU
rnacentral:rRNA from 1 species